GUGCCAGCAGCCGCGGUGAUACAGAGGGUGCAAGCGUUAAUCGGAAUUACUGGGCGUAAAGGGAGCGUAGGUGGCUCGAUAAGUCAGAUGUGAAAUCCCCGGGCUCAACCUGGGAACUGCAUCUGAUACUGUUGAGCUAGAGUAUGUGAGAGGAAGGUAGAAUUCCAGGUGUAGCGGUGAAAUGCGUAGAGAUCUGGAGGAAUACCGAUGGCGAAGGCAGCCUUCUGGCAUAAUACUGACACUGAGGCUCGAAAGCGUGGGUAGCAAACAGGAUUAGAUACCCUGGUAGUCCACGCCGUAAACGAUGUCUACUAGUCGUUGGGUCCCUUGAGGACUUAGUGACGCAGCUAACGCAAUAAGUAGACCGCCUGGGGAGUACGGCCGCAAGGUUAAAACUCAAAUGAAUUGACGGGGGCCCGCACAAGCGGUGGAGCAUGUGGUUUAAUUCGAUGCAACGCGAAGAACCUUACCUGGUCUUGACAUAUCUAGAAUCCUGCAGAGAUGCGGGAGUGCCUUCGGGAAUUAGAAUACAGGUGCUGCAUGGCUGUCGUCAGCUCGUGUCGUGAGAUGUUGGGUUAAGUCCCGCAACGAGCGCAACCCUUGUCCUUAGUUACCAGCGGGUUAAGCCGGGAACUCUAAGGAUACUGCCAGUGACAAACUGGAGGAAGGCGGGGACGACGUCAAGUCAUCAUGGCCCUUACGACCAGGGCUACACACGUGCUACAAUGGUAGGUACAAAGGGCAGCUACACAGCGAUGUGAUGCGAAUCUCAAAAAGCCUAUCGUAGUCCAGAUUGGAGUCUGCAACUCGACUCCAUGAAGUAGGAAUCGCUAGUAAUCGCGGAUCAGAAUGCCGCGGUGAAUACGUUCCCGGGCCUUGUACACACCGCCCGUCACACCAUGGGAGUUGAUUGCACCAGAAGUGGAUAGCUUAACCUUCGGGGGAGCGUUCACCACGGUGUGGUUGAUGACUGGGGUGAAGUCGUAACAAGGUAACCG
rnacentral:rRNA from 1 species